CGGGGGCUCACACAAGCGGUGGAGCAUGUGGAUCAAUUCGAAGCAACGCGAAGAACCUUACCUGGGUUUGACAUGCACGGAUGCUCUUCCUGAAAGGGGAGUAGGCUGCCUUCGGGUGAAACGUGCACAGGUGCUGCAUGGCUGUCGUCAGCUCGUGCUGUGAAGUGUCGGGUUAAGUCCCAUAACGAGCGAAACCCCUGUCGCUAGUUGCCAGCGGGUCAUGCCGGGUACUCUAGCGAGACUGCCGGUGUCAAACCGGAGGAAGGUGGGGACGACGUCAAGUCAUCAUGGCCUUUAUGUCCAGGGUGUCACACGUGCUACAAUGGGGCGGUACAGAGCGA
rnacentral:rRNA from 1 species